rnacentral:lncRNA from 1 species
UUAUACACACAUCUUUUUAAGUUUUAUUUAUACUUCUUAGUUCAAGAAUUACACACUAGUCAACAUUAUUAUAUAUUUACAUGCUGAAACUGGCUGUAAUAAGUUUAAAUUCAAGAAAAUAAUUCUUAUGUGCUACUCAUUUAUAAUCCUCAUUUGUUACUAUCUCAUGUAUCCCAGAGAUUGUAGUAGUCCUGUUUUAGAAAGACAUGAAAAUAGAUGCAAUGAUAUCCACUUGUAUUUUGCAUUUUCUAGCCAUUGGAAAAUGUGCAUUAUGUGCAUAUUAAGAAAGGCUACAAGGUAAUUAGUAAGGCUGAAAAUCACUACAUUGUGAAGAAACUAGAAUAUCACUUGUUAGAAAAGGACAAUUCAGAACUGUGCAGGGACAAUAUUUAAAAUGGAACUAUUUAAACACCCAUGCAAAUAAAAACUUUAAAAUGUCAUGGAAUUUAAAUUAUUUUCAACACUGUUUGAAUUAAUACACUUAAAAUGACCAUUGAACACAAAUUAUUGAAAUAAAAAGAGAAAGAUACAAGCUGAUGGAACUGUCAACUUGCUUCAGAUGGUGCCAAGCUGACUGGUCUCUUUUAAAGACUUAAAGAUCUAGCUCCCCUCCCUUCCCCUCCCCCAAUCUGGUAACUAAAAUUCAGUUCAACUACAAAACAAACAAUUGUUUAAGAAUAAAUUCUAUAUCUACUGUUAUCUCUGGGUGGGAUGAGUCAGGUUUU